GUGCUCAAUUUGGCAGCAUGUAUACUAAAAUUGGAAUAGUACAGAGAAGACUAGCAUAGCCCUGUGCAAGAAUGACUUACAAAUUUCUAAAGUAUUCUUUAUUAUU